AAUUGUUCACUCAGUUUAAAAAUGUAAGUCAAGUGGACACAUUUUUAAGCAAAAUGUUGAGUUUACACAUAAAAACAAGUUAACUCAAUGUUUACUAUAUUUUUCUCAAUGAACACAAAUAAGAAAGUUGAGCAAACUCAGUAUUUUUAUUUCUUCAUUUGAGCGGUCAACUUGACAUUAUUGCGCAUGCGCAAAGUGCCGUCGCUGAACUAUACAUGGAGUUUACUGCUUCAAACAUAAACAACGAUGGCAAAGGGAGUGGAUGUCUUCUUUUAAGGACACAAAGCCAGAGGAUGUCCACACCAAGGGUAUGAAGAUGAGCAUCUUAACUAUUACUGGAAGAUGAUGUUGUCAUCCACUCAAACCUAAAGGUGCCUAGGAUGUAGUACUAGAGACGCAGAUUGUGUUGGAAUAUAUACAUGGCCUUACCACUGCUGUUGCUGUCCUCUUUGGCUUAAUUUAGAUCAUCCAAAAAAAUGAAAAUUCUGUCAUCAUUUACUCACAGCCAUGUCGAUCCAAACCCAUAAGACAUUUGUUUAUCUUUAAUACACAAAUGAAGAUAUUUUUAAUGAAACCUGAGAUAUUUCUGUCCAUUCACUGAAAAACUAUUCACCUAAAAUUCUGAUGCUUCAAAAUGUUCAUAAAGAGAUUGUAAAACAAAUACAUAAGAAUCGAAUGGUUUAAACAAAGUCUUCUGAAGAGACGUGAUCACAUUACACAUCACGCAUUUCACACUAAAUGCUGCUCCAUCUCUGCAAGUGCUGUGAGUUUGAGUCUUAUAUAACAUGUACUAAAAAAAACCCCAGAAAUUGUAUUAUAUUUUAGUUUUCUAUACAGUGAUAGCUUAAAAGCUAUGUCAAUUAGCACUGCAUUAUAAGUACACUCUAAAAAGAUGGUUCUUUAAAGGUCUAUUUAGAACCGAGUUUAGGUAUUUUUUUUUUAUUCCUGGCUUUUUUAAAAAAAAAAAAAAAAAAAAAAAAAAUUGUAACUGUCAAAACACCUCAUUACUCAUUUUCUGGACAUCAACUAUCCAGCUACACAGACUAUCAACACAGUUUCAACAGGUGAAGUUCUUUCUUACAAUGUCUAUAAAAUGUUAACUUUCAUAUUGUAACUUGUUUCCCAUUGCCAAUAAUGUCUUUUUCUUUUUUUUAGGUUCUUUUUUGUGUGACCAGCUCUGUUCGGUUAAGGAUACUCUCUUCUCCACUAAGUAAUAGAGAUGCAUCAUAUUCACAACCUCAUCAUCUGCAGAGAAACUGCCACUCAAUCACACCACAUCGAUGGGCUUAAAGGCAUCACAGAGGAUCCUGAAGAUACAUUACUCCUGGAAAUUUUGUCAUUUAUUUUCUAUUUCCAUUUUUACUUUCUGAUGUAUUUUUUUCAUGUUCAUUGUCAACUGUCAUUUAUUAUUUGUAUUUAGCCAAUAACUGUUUUUAGAGCAUUUUCAUUUUUGCUUCAAGUUCAUGUCAAUUAAAAAAAUAAAAAGUACCUAACUAAAACUACAUGCUGUUUUGUUUAGUUUUUGUGUGAGUGUGUAAAACCCUAAUACAGGCUAAAAUACAUUAUAGGAAAAACAAAAAUGUUAAUAGAUAAUAUAUGUAAAUAAUAUUAAUAAGUAAAACUAGUAUCAAAGGUAUAAAUAUACUAAUAUUAAUGAAAAUAAACUAUUUUCAAAUGUACUAUUUUCUAAAUCCUAUUUCAUGCAUCCCUACAAUUGCGUCUCUUCAGGAGACUUCAACUGCUCAAUUCAUAUUAACUUAUAUAUUUAUUUAAUUAUUUAUGAUCUCUUUAUGAACGCUUUGAAGUUUUGGGUGAACAGCCUUUCAAUACAGAAGUCUCUCAAAUUUCAUUAAAAUAUUUUAAUUUGUGUUGAGUGUGAACAACGGUUUAGAACAACAUGGGAGUGAGUAAAUGAUAAAUUUUCAGAAUAAUUUUGGUUGAAUUAUUCCUUUAAGUGUUGUGUUAAUAGUUGAAAUAUUUUGUUUCUUG